rnacentral:tRNA from 1 species
GUCUCUGUGGCGCAAUCGGUUAGCGCGGUCGGUUGUUAAUCGAAAGGUUUGUGGUUCAAGCCUACCCAGGGACG